AAAUGUGGAGCCGUAGCGAAAGCGAGUCUGAAUAGGGCGAAUGAGUAUUUGGUCGUAGACCCGAAACCAGGUGAUCUACCCUUGGUCAGGUUGAAGUUCAGGUAACACUGAAUGGAGGACCGAACCGACUUACGUUGAAAAGUGAGCGGAUGAACUGAGGGUAGCGGAGAAAUUCCAAUCGAACUUGGAGAUAGCUGGUUCUCUCCGAAAUAGCUUUAGGGCUAGCCUCAAGUGAUGAUUAUUGGAGGUAGAGCACUGUUUGGACGAGGGGCCCCUCUCGGGUUACCGAAUUCAGACAAACUCCGAAUGCCAAAUAAUUUAACUUGGGAGUCAGAAUGUGGGUGAUAAGGUCCAUAUUCGAAAGGGAAACAGCCCAGACCACCAGCUAAGGUCCCAAAAUAUAUGUUAAGUGGAAAAGGAUGUGGCGUUGCCCAGACAACUAGGAUGUUGGCUUAGAAGCAGCCAUCAUUUAAAGAGUGCGUAAUAGCUCACUAGUCGAGUGACACUGCGCCGAAAAUGUACCGGGGCUAAACAUAUUACCGAAGCUGUGGAUUGUCCUUUGGACAAUGGUAGGAGAGCGUUCUAAGGGCGUUGAAGCAUGAUCGCAAGGACAUGUGGAGCGCUUAGAAGUGAGAAUGCCGGUGUGAGUAGCGAAAGACGGGUGAGAAUCCCGUCCACCGAUUGACUAAGGUUUCCAGAGGAAGGCUCGUCCGCUCUGGGUUAGUCGGGUCCUAAGCUGAGGCCGACAGGCGUAGGCGAUGGAUAACAGGUUGAUAUUCCUGUACCACCAUUAUUCGUUUUAAGCGAUGGGGGGACGCAGUAGGAUAGGCGAAGCGUGCUGUUGGAGUGCACGUCCAAGCAGUGAGAUUGAGUGUUAGGCAAAUCCGGCACUCUUAAGAUUGAGCUGUGAUGGGGAGAGGAACUUGUUCCUCGAGUCGUUGAUUUCACACUGCCGAGAAAAGCCUCUAGCUAGAAUAACGGUGCCCGUACCGCAAACCGACACAGGUAGUCAAGAUGAGAAUUCUAAGGUGAGCGAGCGAACUCUCGUUAAGGAACUCGGCAAAAUGACCCCGUAACUUCGGGAGAAGGGGUGCUCUUUGAGGUUCACGCUUCGAAGAGCCGCAGUGAAUAGGCCCAAGCGACUGUUUAUCAAAAACACAGGUCUCUGCUAAACCGUAAGGUGACGUAUAGGGGCUGACGCCUGCCCGGUGCUGGAAGGUUAAGAGGAGUGGUUAGCGCAAGCGAAGCUACGAAUCGAAGCCCCAGUAAACGGCGGCCGUAACUAUAACGGUCCUAAGGUAGCGAAAUUCCUUGUCGGGUAAGUUCCGACCCGCACGAAAGGCGUAACGAUUUGGGCACUGUCUCAACGAGAGACUCGGUGAAAUCAUAGUACCGGUGAAGAUGCCGGUUACCCGCGACAGGACGGAAAGACCCCGUGGAGCUUUACUGUAGCCUGAUAUUGAAAUUCGGUACAGUUUGUACAGGAUAGGUAGGAGCCUUAGAAGCGUGAGCGCUAGCUUACGUGGAGGCAUUGGUGGGAUACUACCCUAAUUGUAUUGGAUUUCUAACCCGCAGCACUUAUCGUGCUGGGAGACAGUGUCAGGCGGGCAGUUUGACUGGGGCGGUCGCCUCCUAAAGAGUAACGGAGGCGCUCAAAGGUUCCCUCAGAAUGGUUGGAAAUCAUUCAUAGAGUGUAAAGGCAUAAGGGAGCUUGACUGCGAGACCUACAAGUCGAGCAGGGUCGAAAGACGGACUUAGUGAUCCGGUGGUUCCGCAUGGAAGGGCCAUCGCUCAACGGAUAAAAGCUACCCCGGGGAUAACAGGCUUAUCUCCCCCAAGAGUUCACAUCGACGGGGAGGUUUGGCACCUCGAUGUCGGCUCAUCGCAUCCUGGGGCUGUAGUCGGUCCCAAGGGUUGGGCUGUUCGCCCAUUAAAGCGGUACGCGAGCUGGGUUCAGAACGUCGUGAGACAGUUCGGUCCCUAUCCGUCGUGGGCGUAGGAAAUUUGAGAGGAGCUGUCCUUAGUACGAGAGGACCGGGAUGGACAUACCUCUGGUGUACCAGUUGUCGUGCCAACGGCAUAGCUGGGUAGCUAUGUAUGGACGGGAUAAGUGCUGAAAGCAUCUAAGCAUGAAGCCCCCCU
rnacentral:rRNA from 1 species